rnacentral:rRNA from 2 species
UGCAGUCGAGCGGAUGAAGGGAGCUUGCUCCUGGAUUCAGCGGCGGACGGGUGAGUAAUGCCUAGGAAUCUGCCUGGUAGUGGGGGAUAACGUCCGGAAACGGGCGCUAAUACCGCAUACGUCCUGAGGGAGAAAGUGGGGGAUCUUCGGACCUCACGCUAUCAGAUGAGCCUAGGUCGGAUUAGCUAGUUGGUGGGGUAAAGGCCUACCAAGGCGACGAUCCGUAACUGGUCUGAGAGGAUGAUCAGUCACACUGGAACUGAGACACGGUCCAGACUCCUACGGGAGGCAGCAGUGGGGAAUAUUGGACAAUGGGCGAAAGCCUGAUCCAGCCAUGCCGCGUGUGUGAAGAAGGUCUUCGGAUUGUAAAGCACUUUAAGUUGGGAGGAAGGGCAGUAAGUUAAUACCUUGCUGUUUUGACGUUACCAACAGAAUAAGCACCGGCUAACUUCGUGCCAGCAGCCGCGGUAAUACGAAGGGUGCAAGCGUUAAUCGGAAUUACUGGGCGUAAAGCGCGCGUAGGUGGUUCAGCAAGUUGGAUGUGAAAUCCCCGGGCUCAACCUGGGAACUGCAUCCAAAACUACUGAGCUAGAGUACGGUAGAGGGUGGUGGAAUUUCCUGUGUAGCGGUGAAAUGCGUAGAUAUAGGAAGGAACACCAGUGGCGAAGGCGACCACCUGGACUGAUACUGACACUGAGGUGCGAAAGCGUGGGGAGCAAACAGGAUUAGAUACCCUGGUAGUCCACGCCGUAAACGAUGUCGACUAGCCGUUGGGAUCCUUGAGAUCUUAGUGGCGCAGCUAACGCGAUAAGUCGACCGCCUGGGGAGUACGGCCGCAAGGUUAAAACUCAAAUGAAUUGACGGGGGCCCGCACAAGCGGUGGAGCAUGUGGUUUUAAUUCGAAGCAACGCGAAGAACCUUACC